CUCUCUGGAGACACCCGGAUCAGAUCGGGGGCCGAAGGUGCAACAUAUAUCAUAUCUUAUUGAUAUAUGAAUCUCUCAGGUAAAAGGACAGAGAAG
rnacentral:ncRNA from 1 species